ACCAAUUGGUCCACGGACCGGGGAUUGGGGACCACUGCUCUAAAUCAUACAUGCCUCAUCUUAUUAACAGUAAACUUGUUAGGCUUGACCUUUGUUAGCCUCUAAAGAGCCCAAUAGCUUAAAUUUGCAAUUCAGAUUGACUGUGCUUGUGUCAGGGCGCUGCGGAAGAUGUAAAUGUGUCGCCUGGUGGACAGCUGCGGGAACUGCGCAAAAGCGUUGGCGAGAGCGUGGCGGUGCUGGAACCCCCGCGGUUGCCAGUAGGCCUUCGGCGUGCUUCGCUGCAAGGGCCUCCAACAUCGCUUGCAGCUUUAAUUUGUUUGUGUUACUUUGACAUGCGUCGCCAUUUUGUAGCCAAGACAAACCAUAUUUCUACUAUCGUAAAUAUGCAGAUGUGAGCACCAUAGCCAAGUUUGAUCCUUUGUCCCAAAACUUUUAUAUUUUUUUUACAACAGAACCCUGGAACAGCAUGAUCCAGAUACAGCCAUACAAUAUCAAGUUCUUAUUAUGCAUGUAAAGACAGCAAAUCAUAUCAAAAAUGUAUUUAUGCGAUUAAAAAUUGUAUUUUUAAUCGCAUACAAUUUAUUAUUGUAUUUCUGUGGAGUUGUUACAUGACUUUACAGUUGACCAGCAGAUGGUCUUUGACAACCUUCAUAAUGAGGUUAAGGUGCAAGUGAAGGUUAUUGUGGAAGAAAAAAGUAUGGCAGAAAAGACAGAAGACUUUGAACGCAGACUGGGUUCAUUUUCACUUGCGUUGCAACAGCUGUACGUAAACACUAAGAUAAGCUCAYAUUUCUAGAUAUUAACAUAUUGCUUCACUGCACACCAGGCGAGGACAGAAACGCGCUCACAAGGAGGGUAUAAGUUUGUUUUUACACGUUUGCGCGYAUUCCAGUGGCUGUCAGCGCUGAGUGAUUUUAGCUCUUUAAGUGGUCCAAGUAAGAGCCGUAUUUUCAUUGCUUACCAGAAAGAGAGUGAAGGACGCAGGCUGAUUGCAAGCACGGUCUCCUGCUGUGAUGAAAACGUUCUGGCUUACGCUGCGCAGGCUGCUGCCAACCUCUGCCUGGACACAACUUCUGUGGAGUUUUGCUGCUGCAAUCAGGAGCUGUGAAUGUGAGCUGCUCCUGCUGUUGUAACAUGUAGCUUUGGGCAUGCAGAACAUUUUCAUACAUGGAUGGCAAGUCUGUUUUAAUCUCCCCUUUACUUUUAAUGGCACAAUUAAAUAACUUAUAUCUUCAGUUUUUAUAAUAAUACAAUAUGACCUAAAGGAAAUUUGAAUUCAUAAUUUAAUGCCUUGAAAUUGGGCUUCUGUCUCUAAGAAACUCCUGCUCUUUCUGAAACUCCGCCUUCAGGAAGUCAUUACAGUAUGGCUCUUCUUUAAACCCUUUAAAAACUUUUUUUUUUACCAGCUUUGAACUAAGAAGUAGCUUGUAAAAUGAGCUCUAUUGGUGUUUGCUAAGUGCUGCUGGCUAGUCUGAAGGAGUAGAGUUGGGGAUCCACAGGGGAGGGCUGGUCUGUGAGGCGAAUCCAUCCAGGAGUUUUGAAUGGUUGCCACUGGAGACUGAAGGGCGCAUGAAAGAAUCAAGGCAACACUCCAGGUAUGUUUUUGAUGAGAGACUAACCUUAGAACAGGAUAUAAAAACUGUUCAAAUAGUCGAUUCGAAAUAAUACUGCCCCUUUAAAUAUUUUCCAUUUYGAACAAUGAAAAACCUGCAGUAUCCAAAACUAUACUGUUUGUGUCCUAAACCUUGCACUCUGAAGCCUUUGGAGAUUUUAAACAAUUCGCCGUGUGUUUGUCUUUUAUCUUUUUGUCGAAAUUAAAAAUGGUGUACACAAGCAGAUCUAAGAAGUGCUGGUUGCCAUAGCGAGCAGUCAAACACGUUUACAGCCCGCCUCGUCCCCGUUUGUGAGACGAACGUCCGCGCUUCCUCUUUCCYGUGUGCUGUAAACACCAGGACGCAACAGUUCUCACAGCUUUUAACUUCAGCCAGGCACGCUGACAACUUUACAACACCACCUUUCUCUGUUGACCAGCCUGUCUCUGUUUGCUCUGAGCACAUAAUUCAGGUUCCAUUUAGUUCCAGGCCGCAYGCACGUGGGGUUCUCAGCAGAGCUCCAGCAGAGGCUGUGUCAGGUGUCUGUGUUUGCAGAUGACGCUUUAUGGUUCUCUUCAGAGCACCCGCAGAUGUUUAGCACCAACCUGGGUCGUCUGGCAGACAAAGACGCAAACAGGAAAAAGCUGGCUGGUGGGCCAUCGUCUGGUGGGACAGUCGCAGACUGAAAGAGGAACUAGUAUAAAGAAAACUUCUCUCAUCAGAUCAUUUCGUACUAAACCUAGAAAAUGUUUGAGCGCUGUUCAUCCACUGAGCAUAAAGUUUAGAGAAAAAGUACUACCUCACUUUCACCUUCACCGUGCUAAUAUCAGCUAUUGUACAAAAUGACUAAACAUGAAAAAGUAGUCUUACAAUGUCCUAUAGAGGUCACUUUUACUUAGGGUUGUACAUCUCUUGGCCAAUAAAAUAUGUAUAAUUAAAGCUAAAUGUUACACACAUCAACUAAAAAGACACACUUUUUUCCUCACCGUCUGAAAUUAAAUCAAACCAAACUUGCAAGACUUAGCAAAAACAAUUUCCUUUUGCUAAAUGCCAUCAUGAUGAAAGAAAAAUUCAGAAUGAUUACUAUCUUUUUAAACAAUGAGGGAAAGCACAGAUAAUAAUGCCAUGGAUUUGAAAACUUCUGAUGGGUUGUUUGACACAACUGAGUUAAUAGGAGGUUCACAUGUGGAUGUAGUUUAUGGCCACAAACUACAUGUAGUUUAUGGUGUCACCUCAAAGACACUGCUUUCUUGAUGGACAUCAUUGGCUCUAAUGAGAUUAGGAUCUCUAGCCUGGUUAGGUAAAGACUAACCAGAAGGUUAAAGACUUCUGUUUGUUUUGAAUCUUGCCUGUGAUAAAGACUUCUCCUAAUGACAGAGUUGAACUGCUUAUUGAAUUCAAAAUCCCCAUCAAGGUUCACAUCAGGGUUUCUGGUGUGAACCUUGAUGAAAAGAGCAAACAAGGACCCUAGUCUGGUGAAUGACCACCCCAUUAUUUUAUGUUUGCUUUGGCCAGUGGGUCUGGACUCUUGGCUAUUGAGAAACAACUGGUUGGUGGACUCUGUUAAGUUUUAUUGGAUUGGAUCCGAUUUUACCCAAUCACUAACAUCUGGUGUAUGUAAAGCUCUGGCUCGAUCGUGAAGGAAGCUAYGCUAUGAAGCUUACCUGAAAUUAUGUAAGCAACCAUCUCCCACUGCAUUGGGAGUAGGACAACAACAUCCUCUUGAUCCCACUUUAAUUGCUCAGUAUUUGUAAGUGUGGCCRACACGGAUGGAACCAUUAGGGACACAAUUUAAUUGUGCAAGAUUGACAAAAAUUCAUUCAUUCAUGUUUUUGAAUGUUCAUGACUAAAACAGACGUGUCAAGRUUGUGCCACACCUCUCACCCAAUGAGCAGCCCACACGACCCUUCAUGGGUGACGGGGUAAAAACAAUGGAUGGAUGAAUACAAACAAAGAAGAGAUCAUGCUGAACUCAUCUAUGACAGUGUUUAUGUAGGACAGUAAACACUUUGCUUUUACAAAUUACUGYAGUUUCUGGUAAACUGGUGUGUGAUAUUUUGAACUUAACUGACAGAAAACUAAAUGGUUUUCUAACAAAAUGUGGUUUGAGUUUGAUGUCUUAACCGUUGGUCGUUUUUUUCUUUAUACAUUCUUUGUGUCGGGGGUGUAACUGACCUUGUGUGCUUUUAUCUUUGAAAGUCUUCAAAAUUAUACAGCUAUAAGCUGUUUCUCAGCCUGUUGGUCUCGCUCUUCAGGUACUUUUUUCCCUUAGAAAUUCUGGAAAAAUUUCCGCUUCAAGACUUGAUAACAGAUGUGUCAGUAUUUUUCUAUUUGUGGAGCAGGGAACUGCCCACCUGGGGCCUUUAACUGUGGUAAACGGCUGGGCAGUUUAGCGGGCCAGCCCAUCGAGCUCUAGCCAACAACCUUUAACGCUUAGUUCUAAYGGCCCCGGUUAGCAGCUGGUUACAGCUGGUAAACAGUUGAACAGCUGUUUACUGGCCGUUCAACAGCAGGUUAGAAUUAUGGUUCGACAAGUAAACUGUUUAUCAGUUGUUUACCUGCUGUAAACUGUUGAACAGCUCUUCAAUCGUUUGCCUGUCCAGUUGAACAUUGUUUUCACCUGCUGUUAAUCGGCUGGUAAACAGCUCCUCCGCCUAACGGCUCCGGUGUUAAAGCAGCGGCUCUGGAGAUAAAUCUGGUGGAGCCUCUCUUAGAAACUUGCAAAAUGUACUAUAGUGAAAUCAAAUAAAAUGCCGGCUGACUUUGUGGCCGGGUCAUCAAUGCCCACCUAUGCACCCAGGCCUGGUUAUAGCUGCUGAGUUAUUAUACAGCUAAUAUAAUUAAUAGGCUAUUAAUAGGUUCCCCAUUAAAGUGUGGGGCUCAGGAGGUGGCACUUGAUGGAGUUGUAAUUGACAUUUUGUUUCUCUCCUUUUCUUCCCCGUAGGAUGGUUUUAACUAAAACAACAACCUUAAGUCUGGAAACACCAUUUUACAGACCACCCCCAUAAACAUCAAGAUUUUAAAAAUAAAAGAAGAAAAAGCAAUAAGCUGGGGAUUGAGCGAUGGAAGAGCAAAGCCUCUUCAAACAACAACAAAAAAAACCACUUGCUGCAGUUAGGAUGGUCAGGUCUGGAAGAGUAGAUGUACCCAAUCCACAACCUGCGGCUCAAACAGGGCAGCUGCACAAUGUCCCUGUCUCUGUGGAGGGAGGCAGCCCUCUACGAGCUCUGCAUUGGGCACCACGUGACGGUUUCCCACGUAAGGUGCCAAGAAUAUGGCUACGGCGCUCAGCUGCAGAGCACGUCAUUUAUAAAAAAUAGAGUAACAGGCUAAAAAGGAGGAGAACAUUGCCGCUGUAAUCAUUGGAGUCAUGGACACGGAUAAUUCAGACGUCAAAAGAAGUCCUACUAGAGAAUGAGCACACAUAUAGGAUUUCU